GAAUUUUAUAUAUUUUAUUUUAGUUAAUAAUUAGAUUUUUAAUUAAUCUAAUAUAUUUAGUUGGGAGAAUUAUUAGAUUGUAAUAAUUUUAAUUUUUUUUAAAAAAUAUUGAUUUAUAAAUGAAGGAAUGAUAUUUUUAUGUUUAAAAAAUUAAUUACCUUAGGGAUAACAGCGUAAUAUUUUUGGAGAGUUCUUAUCGAUAAAAAUGAUUGC
rnacentral:rRNA from 1 species